GAUGAACGCUAGCGGCAGGCCUAACACAUGCAAGUCGAGGGGGAGGUUACUUUCGGGUAACUGAGACCGGCGUACGGGUGCGUAACGCGUAUACAAUCUGCCUUUCACUGGGGGAUAGCCCGAAGAAAUUUGGAUUAAUACCCCAUAGUAUAGUAAUACGGCAUCGUGAUGCUAUUAAAGCUUAGGUGGUGAAAGAUGAGUAUGCGUUCUAUUAGCUAGUUGGAGAGGUAACGGCUCCCCAAGGCGAUGAUAGAUAGGGGUUCUGAGAGGGAUGUCCCCCACACUGGUACUGAGAUACGGACCAGACUCCUACGGGAGGCAGCAGUGAGGAAUAUUGGACAAUGGUCGGAAGACUGAUCCAGCCAUGCCGCGUGCAGGAUGAAGGUCUUAUGGAUUGUAAACUGCUUUUGUAAGGGAAGAAUAAGGGCUACGCGUAGUUUGAUGACGGUACCUUACGAAUAAGCAUCGGCUAACUCCGUG
rnacentral:rRNA from 1 species